UUUUCCUUUUUCAGCCCACGGAUUGUUCUUCUUAUCCGGAGCAUUAAUCAACGGAUCGUUCUUCUCAUUUUCCUCAAUGAACGACCGCAUUCUGUGCAAAAAGAGAGAAGUGGUGAGACAUGGAAAUUCAUAUGAAGGAGGUCACCCAAUGGGGCUGUGCCAAAAUGUGAGAAUAAAGAGUUCUCAAGGCUGGACGGACUAUUGCCCCUCGGGCACUGGUAGGGGAAAAUACAAAGAGGAAUUUUUGACUGUUUGAAAAGCCAGAAAUCUACUGUUGAAGCUGUUGAUGGAGUCUGUAUUUUAAUGACAGAAUAUUUCAUAUCAAAUUUCCAAAGACAUUGUCGGUUCGUUUCCACACGUCUAUCUACCUUCAGCGUCUAAUAUUUAUUUCCCUUAUUUACAAUUAAAUCCCCUAAGCACUUCCUUAUCGUGAAAUUCAAUUCCCAAUCAAAAUUCAACAAAAUUGUUAUUAAAAAAUCAAUGCAAAAUGUUGGCAUUUGUUUGCAGAAGCGAGGAAGAAGGCCACACACGUGUCAGAUAGAAUGAAAAUGCCAAUGCCUCACGCAAGGCAAUCGAAUUGAAUGCGAAAUGCCAAAGUUCUAAUUCGCAAAGAAAGAGAAAAAAGUAAUAUUUUCCAGGUAUCGUUUAAGUCAUUUGAGCUAUGAAAAGCCCCCUGGAAAGCAAGCGCCUUUGAGGCGGCAGCCUUAAGUCUCCUACAGUCUCCUUCUCUCUCUGCCAAGGAGAAAUAAAAUACAUAAACAGAAAGCUUAGCAUACAUUUGAGAGCAGCCUUCCGAUUUCCAAUUCCUUGAGUAUUCGAGGCACGCACGACGCCCACGCCCAAGCCCUCGUCCCGCCUCGUAGGAGGAAAAAGAUACACGUAUGCUGCUUGACUAUGGGAAACAGGAUAAUGCAAAUGCAUAAUGCUUAUAGUCCUGCCACUUCCCUUUUCAAUGCCCAGCCCUGUUGCUGUUGAUGCUGAUGAAAUGAAUGUUGAGGCGGAAAUUUAAUGCCAGAAAUUGCAAAUUUCCUGCUAUCAAAAACUUGUCGAGCUGCCGCUCCGUGUACACGUUGCACACUCCUUACCCCACAAAGUAUUUACAUAUUUGAUUUGCAGGAUGGCUGAAGUUAUGCUGUUGCUACAGCACACAGC